rnacentral:lncRNA from 1 species
AAUAAUUGAUGUGACAUCAUGGCUAUGGGAGAAUUAAAAUGUUCAUAUGCAAAUAUGUAAAUUAGAAUACAAUUUGUACAUGUAAUUAUGAAAAUGUGUUAUUGGAUUUACUGGGAAACAGACUGUCAUAACCCUACUCAAGGAGUUUCUUGAGUCAGCGUACUAGAUCUUACUCUAGGUCAGGCACCCAGUCCCUCAAUUGCCAUUAAUCUGAACCAGUGGUUUCCAACCUAAGUAUCAUAACCCUUUCUGAAUGUCCAAACCUGAAUCCUAAUAUAAAUGGUAGUUUUAUUUUUUAGUAUCUGUAAGUUAAAAAAUAUGUAAUGAUGCCAGUAAAUGGAUGAAACUGGAGAAUAUCAUGCUAAAUAAAAUAAGCCAAUCCCCAAAAACCAAAGGCCGAAUGUUUUCUCUGAUAUGUGGAUGGUAAUCUAUAAUAAGGGAGAGUAGGGAGGGGAAGAAUAGAAGUUUAAUGGAUUAGAGAAAGGAGAAUGAAGGGAAAUGUGGGGGGGAUGGGAAUAGGAAAGACAAAAUGAAUCUACUUAACUUUCCUUUGCUCAUAAAUCAAUAUACAACCAGUAACUCCACAUUAUAUAGAACCACAAGAAUGGCAUCCUAAUUGGAAUGGGUUAUAAUCCAUGUAUAUAUUAUAUGUCAAAAUACAUUCUGUUGUCAUGUAUAGCUAAAAACAAAUUUAAAUUUUUUAACUUUGUGGAAAUAAAUCAAUCUUUUUGCUAUAAGAUUAAAUUCU